rnacentral:rRNA from 1 species
AUGAGGUGUGGGUAGGGGUGAAAUGCCAAUCGAACCUGGAGAUAGCUGGUUCUCUCCGAAAUAGCUUUAGGGCUAGCCUCAAGGUAAGAGUCUCGGAGGUAGAGCACUGAUUGGACUAGGGGCCCCUACCGGGUUACCGAAUUCAGUCAAACUCCGAAUGCCGAUGACUUAUCCUUGGGAGGCAGACUGCGAGUGAUAAGAUCCGUAGUCGAAAGGGAAACAGCCCAGACCGCCAGCUAAGGUCCCAAAGUAUACGUUAAGUGGAAAAGGAUGUGGAGUUGCUUAGACAACCAGGAUGUUGGCUUAGA